rnacentral:rRNA from 1 species
CCUACGGGGGGCUGCAGUGGGGAAUAUUGGACAAUGGGCGAAAGCCUGAUCCAGCAAUGCCGCGUGAGUGAUGAAGGCCUUAGGGUUGUAAAGCUCUUUUACCCGGGAUGAUAAUGACAGUACCGGGAGAAUAAGCUCCGGCUAACUCCGUGCCAGCAGCCGCGGUAAUACGGAGGGAGCUAGCGUUGUUCGGAAUUACUGGGCGUAAAGCGCGCGUAGGCGGUUUUUUAAGUCAGAGGUGAAAGCCCAGUGCUCAACACUGGAACUGCCUUUGAAACUGGAAAACUUGAAUCUUGGAGAGGUCAGUGGAAUUCCGAGUGUAGAGGUGAAAUUCGUAGAUAUUCGGAAGAACACCAGUGGCGAAGGCGACUGACUGGACAAGUAUUGACGCUGAGGUGCGAAAGCGUGGGGAGCAAACAGGAUUAGAUACCCCGGUAGUC